GAGCGCCGCGUCUCGGGAGUUGAUGGCAGCACCACUGUGCGGCCGCCCGGCCGAGCGCGCAGCGCAGCCACACGCUGCUGCCCAGGGAGCGCCCAAGAUGUGGGGGGACCGGGGCGGCAGCGGCUGUAGCAGCGCCAGGGACGGGGGCACGCAGCAGCCUCCGCUCGCUCGCCUGUCCUGACCUGCCUCGCUUGCCCCCAAAGAAUGUCAGCCAAGUCUAAGGGGAAACCCUCCUCGUCCUGUCCAGCCGAGGGACCGCCGGCAGCCUCCAAAACCAAGGUGAAGGAACAGAUCAAGAUCAUCGUGGAAGAUCUGGAAUUAGUCCUGGGCGACCUGAAGGACGUGGCCAAGGAACUUAAGGAGGUGGUUGACCAGAUUGACACCCUGACCUCUGACCUACAGCUGGAGGAUGAGAUGACUGACAGCUCCAAAACGGACACGCUGAAUAGUAGCUCAAGUGGCACAACAGCCUCCAGCCUAGAGAAGAUCAAAGUGCAGGCUAAUGCACCGCUUAUUAAACCCCCAGCACACCCAUCUGCUAUCCUCACGGUCCUGAGAAAGCCAAACCCUCCACCACCUCCUCCACGGUUGACACCUGUGAAGUGUGAAGACCUCAAAAGGGUGGUUCCAACGGCCAAUCCCGUAAAGACCAAUGGCACCCUUCUACGAAAUGGAGGCUUACCAGGUGGACCUAACAAAAUUCCAAAUGGAGAUAUCUGCUGCAUACCCAACAGUAACUUGGACAAGGCUCCAGUUCAGCCUCUGAUGCAUAGACCUGAAAAAGACAGAUGUCCCCAGGCAGGGCCUCGAGAACGAGUUCGGUUCAAUGAAAAAGUACAGUACCAUGGCUAUUGUCCUGACUGUGAUACCCGGUAUAACAUAAAAAACAGGGAGGUCCACUUACACAGCGAACCUGUCCACCCACCAGGAAAGAUUCCUCACCAAGGCCCUCCCCUCCCUCCUCCACCCCAUCUCCCUCCUUUCCCACUAGAAAAUGGGGGAAUGGGAAUAAGCCACAGUAACAGCUUCCCCCCUGUCAGACCUGCAACUGUGCCUCCUCCCACUGCACCAAAACCACAGAAGACGAUCUUGAGGAAAUCAACCACUACAACCGUGUGAUGUAUGCCAUUAAAAAAAAUGUUUUUUUUUUUAAAUUUUCUAUAUUAUAAACAUAAAAUAAUAAGUAACGAGCACUUUCUACUCAAGCAAUAAAAAGCCCAAAUAUAUUAAUCCUGCAUUCAGCAAAGUGGCAUAAAAAUCACCUGCUCCUUCAGAUUGGAAGGAAUACCUUUACUUGGGGGCAUGUCAAUUCGUUUUUCUCACUUCAGCUUCAUCUUUAUGACUUCUUGAGGACAGAUCUAAUUCUAAAGUAACCAGAAGCCUGACCAUCUCAGAGCAGCAAAUCUCUCAGCCUUGGAGCACAAAUGAUCUCUGAUAUAGUCUGCGUAAAAUCAUCUUCCUCUAUCUGACAGCCAGGAGCAGAGCCUUGGGGGUAAAAACAGCCACAGCCUUAAAUCUCUUCACUCAGAAACUACCAUGAAUAUAAAAUAAAUAGAUGGAAAGUACUAAACAAGAAGCCAACAAAACAUAAACACCAAACCAACUCAUCUUGUUUCACUAUGGAAAUAAACUGUUCCCAGAUGUGAGACCAACAAAAUUAAUAUUAAGCAAUUAAACCAGUAAAUUAUAAACUGAUUUACCAUUUGGGAAGAUUAAAGUAUAGAGAGAUGAGGUACUUCUAGCCAGAAUUACACAUCAUUUCAAAAUAUGUAGACAAAAGAAAACAAAAAACAAAAACUGAAUGAACAGAGAAACAUUGCAGCAAUGAACAGUCUUAGGACGAAUGUUGCUUUUUCCAGACAGAGAGUGUUCGCCAUCUUGUGUAUAGCCUCAAAGCCAUCCUGAGAUAAUAGCAUUGUUGUCAAUUGCUUGAAAAUUUUUCGCAUUCAAUCCUUCACCCUAUAUUGGUUGGAAGAGGGGGGAAGUCAGUUCUUACUGAUUACUUCUCAGUGAACUUCUAAUAUUUGCACUGUCACUUCCAUUCAGGGUAAUGAUGUGUGCUGUUAUUUGCACAGAUGGUCCCAUGAGUUUUGAGACCACAGCAAGCAGUUUCUUGCAGGAAUCCAAAAUGGAAAAAUGUAAGAAUUCUCAAGACAUUGAUUUUUCUUC